rnacentral:lncRNA from 1 species
GCCCAGAUUGCGGGGUCGUGGGCGUUGGACACUGUGCAGCCAUGAGGAUCUGGUUGAGCGCAGAUUCCUGCCCUCCUGCGGCUGAGAGGCCAACCUCCUAACAUGCGCUGCAGUGACCUCUGGCUCUGGGGUCCGCGUUCUUGCUGGAGCUGGCAGAGACCAGAGCUGCCACCAAUGCUGCUUCCAGGAGUGUGCAUGUGGCAGCUGCCGCUGAUCCCGCGGCGGAGGAUGGCAGGGCUUGUUCCAGAAGGCUUGAGGGUCCGCGAGUGCACCGCCCUCCCACCCUAAGAAUUUCUGGUUUUUCCCGUUGGAGCCCAAGGAGCAAGGGCAGAAUGAGGAACAUGAUGUUCCUUACA